AGCAGCCGCGGUAAUUCCAGCUCCAAUAGCGUAUAUUAAAGUUGUUGCAGUUAAAAAGCUCGUAGUUGAAUUUCGGGGUCAGUAGAUUGGUCAUGCCACUGGUAUGUACUGGUCUCACUGAUUCCUCCUUCCUGAUGAGACGUAAUGCCAUUAAUUUGGUGUUGCGAGGAAUCUGGACUGUUACUUUGAAAAAAUUAGAGUGUUUAAAGCAGGCUAACGCUUGAAUACAUUAGCAUGGAAUAAUGAAAUAGGACGUUCGAUCUUAUUUUGUUGGUUUCUAAGAUUGACGUAAUGAUUAAUAGGGAUAGUUGGGGGCAUUAGUAUUCAAUUGUCAGAGGUGAAAUUCUUGGAUUUAUUGAAGACUAACUACUGCGAAAGCAUUUGCCAAGGAUGUUUUCAUUAAUCAAGAACGAAAGUUAGGGGAUCGAAGACGAUCAGAUACCGUCGUAGUCUUAACCAUAAACUAUGCCGACUAGGGAUCGGAUGAUGUUAAUUUUUUAAUGACUCAUUCGGCGCCUUACG
rnacentral:rRNA from 1 species